rnacentral:rRNA from 1 species
AUGGACCACAGCCUGCUUCUCCUGCUCGCCUCCUUGGCCGCAGUCGCCGUCGCGGCUGUCUGGCACCUCCGAAGCCAUGGCAGACGAACAAAGCUGCCUCUGCCGCCGGGGCCGAGGGGUUGGCCGGUGCUGGGCAACCUGCCGCAGCUAGGGGCCAUGCCGCAUCACACCAUGGCCGCUCUCGCCCGCCAGCAUGGCCCCCUCUUCCGCCUCCGCUUCGGCAGCGUCGAGGUCGUCGUCACAGCGUCGGCCAAGGUCGCCCGCAGCUUCCUCCGCGCGCACGACACCAACUUCAGCGACCGCCCGCCUACCUCCGGCGCCGAGCACCUCGCCUACAACUACCAGGACCUCGUCUUCGCGCCCUAUGGCGCCCGCUGGUGCGCCCUCCGCAAGCUCUGCGCGCUCCACCUCUUCUCCGCCCGUGCCCUCGACGCCCUCCGCACCAUACGGCAGGACGAGGCCCGACUCAUGGUCACGCACUUGCUCUCUUCCUCCUCGCCAGCCGGGGUGGCGGUCAACCUGUGCGCCAUCAACGUGCGUGCUACCAACGCGCUGGCACGGGCCGCCAUCGGGGGGCGCAUGUUCGGCGACGGCGUCGGCGAGGGUGCCAGGGAGUUCAAGGACAUGGUGGUCGAGCUCAUGCAGCUCGCCGGCGUCCUCAAUAUCGGCGACUUCGUGCCCGCGCUCCGCUGGCUUGACCCGCAGGGCGUCGUCGCCAAGAUGAAGAGGCUGCACCGCCGCUACGACCGCAUGAUGGACGGCUUCAUCAGCGAGAGGGGCCAGCAUGCCGGAGAGAUGGAAGGGAACGACCUGCUGAGCGUGAUGCUGGCGACGAUUCGGUGGCAGUCGCCCGCAGAUGCCGGCGAAGAGGACGGGAUCAAGUUCACCGAGAUUGACAUCAAGGCUCUCCUCCUGAAUUUAUUCACGGCCGGGACAGACACGACGUCGAGCACAGUGGAGUGGGCGCUGGCAGAGCUCAUACGAGACCCUUGCAUCCUCAAGCAGCUGCAGCACGAGCUCGAUGGCGUAGAGACAUUCCGUCUACACCCGGCGACGCCGCUCUCCCUUCCCCGGGUGGCCGCUGAGGACUGCGAGGUAGACGGCUACCAUGUUUCCAAGGGCACCACCCUCAUCAUGAACGUGUGGGCCAUCGCCCGUGACCCGGCCUCAUGGGGCCCCGACCCAUUGGAGUUCAGGCCGGUCCGCUUCCUCCCGGGCGGAUUGCAUGAGAGCGCGGAUGUGAAGGGGGGCGACUAUGAGCUCAUCCCGUUUGGGGCGGGUCGGAGGAUAUGCGCAGGCCUCGGCUGGGGCCUUCGGAUGGUGACACUCAUGACUGCCACGCUGGUGCACGCAUUCGACUGGUCCUUGGUUGAUGGAACGAUGCCCGAAAAACUCAACAUGGAGGAGGCCUAUGGUCAGACCCUGCAAAGGGCCGUGCCUCUAGUGGUUCAGCCUGUGCCUAGGUUGUUGUCGUCGGCGUACACAGUGUGA